rnacentral:misc_RNA from 1 species
ACACCUCAACCCUCCAAUGUUUUUGCAUUGAAGGCGUUGGUAGUGAGCGCUGCCGGACUUUUGAAUCGGCUCGCUUUAAAAUCAUUAGCUGGAUCCAUUCUGACCUGGUUCUACUCGGCGUAAUAAGUUAUUAUCGUCGAGGACGCCUAGCCUUCUAGGCAGGCGGCCACAGUAAGGGUGUUUGAACCGCUUCCAACACGUCUUGCUCUUGUAGCAAACACUUGAAC